CCUACGGGACGCAGCAGUAGGGAAUUUUCGUCAAUGGGCGCAAGCCUGAACGAGCGAUGCCGCGUGAGUGAAGAAGGUUUUCGGAUCGUAAAACUCUGUUGGUAGAGAAGAACGUUGGUGAGAGUGGAAAGCUCAUCGAGUGACGGUAACUACCCAGAAAGGGACGGCUAACUACGUGCCAGCAGCCGCGGUAAUACGUAGGUCCCGAGCGUUGUCCGGAUUUAUUGGGCGUAAAGCGAGCGCAGGUGGUUUAUUAAGUCUGGUGUAAAAGGCAGUGGCUCAACCAUUGUAUGCAUUGGAAACUG
rnacentral:rRNA from 1 species